GGACUGAGCUGUCACUGCUGACCUGUGCACUCAACUGCCGGUUUCCAGACAACAUGGAUAGGAGUUGCUCCAAAGAACCUUUCUAUAAACAGGUUCACUUCUCCACCCUCCCACUCUGUAUCCUUUCUUUCCCACUACCUCUGGUGGGUUAUAGGCUAAAAGGGAGGUUAAAACAUUUAAGAACCAUCAUUAAAAAUAAGAUUUGAAAAACUUAAAGUUCCAGGCCCUUCCCACUUCUGAGCCGAAAGGAGCCUAAGGACAGGCUGGGACUGCCACCACCACUGUCCUGGGUCUGUGAGCACUUGGGGAAAAGUGCUUCAAAGCAUUUCUCAUUAAAAACUGCGGACAUACUUCAAAAUAUUGCUGAAUUUUACAAGCCUCAAACUGAUCAAAGAGUAAUGAUCAGAAUCUGGGCUGGCUUAUUCCUGAAACCUUGCAAGCCCAUCAGGAUCUACAAAAGAAUCACUGGAUUUUCGACUUCAUUCUGAACACUUACAUGAAAACAAGAAUCUGCCCCUACUCCAAACCUUUUUGCUUCGAUAUCCAGCACGAAAAUUAUAUUUCGAGCAAUUAAGCUGGAAGGGUUUCACAAGACAACUACAUGGUACGAACGAACGUUCUGCUGCUCAAGACUAUGAAGAGCCACGCAUAGUUUAAAGGAGAAAUGAGAAAUUCCACCAAGCUCUCAAGAUUCUUCUUACAACAACUGGACCAGAAUGAGUACUGUCUGUUCUCAAAUCCCAUCAGUCCAAACCCUGUGCUAGUUUCCAUGUCUCAAUUAAAUCGCAUCUUUGUC
rnacentral:lncRNA from 1 species